CGAGGACGAACGCUGGCGGCGUGCCUAACACAUGCAAGUCGAACGGAGUGAUGACUUCGGUUAUCACUUAGUGGCGAACGGGUGAGUAACGCGUGAGGAACCUGCCUCUCAGUGGGGGACAACAGUUGGAAACGACUGCUAAUACCGCAUAACACUUUAGUACCGCAUGGUACAGAAGUCAAAGCUUAAUGUGCUGAGAGAUGGUCUCGCGUCUGAUUAGCUAGAUGGCGGGGUAACGGCCCACCAUGGCGACGAUCAGUAGCCGGUCUGAGAGGAUGAACGGCCACAUUGGGACUGAGAUACGGCCCAGACUCCUACGGGAGGCAGCAGUGGGGAAUAUUGGGCAAUGGGGGAAACCCUGACCCAGCAACGCCGCGUGAAGGAAGAAGGCCUUCGGGUUGUAAACUUCUUUUAGCAGGGACGAAGAACGUGACGGUACCUGCAGAAAAAGCAACGGCUAACUACGUG
rnacentral:rRNA from 1 species